rnacentral:rRNA from 1 species
UACGAAGGGGGCUAGCGUUGUUCGGAUUUACUGGGCGUAAAGCGCACGUAGGCGGAUCGUUAAGUCGGGGGUGAAAUCCUGGAGCUCAACUCCAGAACUGCCUUCGAUACUGGCGAUCUUGAGUCCGGAAGAGGUGAGUGGAACUCCUAGUGUAGAGGUGGAAUUCGUAGAUAUUAGGAAGAACACCAGUGGCGAAGGCGGCUCACUGGUCCGGUACUGACGCUGAGGUGCGAAAGCGUGGGGAGCAA